AGGAUUUUGCCAAAAAAAAAAAAACUGAUUAUUGAUACAAAAAACAAUUGCUGACAUCGGAUGCUAUUGGUGAGAUCCCUACUGCUGCUGUGUUUGAGCUUGCUUAAUGUUUUUGGUUCUUCAUAGUCAGAUUUUUACUGGGUCUUUGAUACUUUUGGGAUGUGGUCUUUUUUUGGCAGUUCUAGUUAUUGCUCUGUUUUGUUGUUUUCAACGGGAAAAAAACUCAGAGAGAGAAGAGUAGUAAAUUCGAAUUGGUAGUUCAGGGUUCAAAUUAAGCAAACUGUGGAUAACUUCAAUGUUCUUUGAUGUUACCAUCAAUGGAACUAGAAAGAAACUACAAAUGAUUCCUCGCAAUACUUAAUUUUAUAGUUUGCAUUAGAUUGUAAUCUUGUUAUCCUUUUCUUGUCUCAAAUCUAAAAUAAUUUCAUUUCUUUAUCUGCUUGCAGAAUAACUAGAAGGAUAUGGAUAACAAUGGUGAAAUCAAGAAAGAUGUUACUGAAGUAUAUCCUCCUCAUUUUUCCAUGUUAUCUGCUGUUUUGACUUUUAAGUAACAGUAGUUCUGCGUCUCUGCAUCUUCUUCUUCUCCUUGCAGUUAAUAGGUAACACCCCUAUGAUUUAUCUCAAUAAUAUUGUGGAUGGUUGCGUAGCCCGAAUUGCUGCCAAGCUCGAAAUGAUGGAACCUACCUCUAGUGUUAAAGAUAGGCAUGCAUUUUCCAUCUGUUUGUAUAUUUUCAUUAUGCACAAAUCUUUGCCGUGGAGGUAAUACAAUGAUUUUCAUUUUUGCACAAGCAGAAUUGCGUACAGCAUGAUAAAAGAUGCAGAAGAUAAGGGCUUGAUUAAGCCAGGGAAGGUUGGUCAUAUUCAUUCCCAUUUCACCAGUCCUUCAUUCUAUACAAGAAAUUUAACCCUAAUCAAUGCUUUCAUGAAGUACCUUUCAUUAGGAAUCAGACUUAAUUUUUGUGUAUAUGCAAUAAUAUGGAAAGCCCCAUCAUAUUAGAAGUCCAUUUUAAUGAAGGGAAUAUGUCUAUCUGAAACUAGUCAAUGUUAUGGAAGUAAAGACUAACAAUUUUACUUUUAUUUCUGGAUGUUGUUCAAAUAUACUGGCUAAAGACCAUCCUCAUUGAACCUACAAGUGGUAAUACUGGUAUAGGAUUGGCUGCAAUUGCUGCAAUGAAGGGUUACAGACUUAUACUCACCAUGCCUGCUUCAAUGAGUCUCGAAAGAAGAAUUGUGCUUCGGGCUCUUGGAGCUGAGAUUCACCUUACUGACCCAGCCAAGGCCUUUCAGGGGGGACUUAAGAAGGCAGAGGAGAUAUUAAGUAAAACACCUGAUGGGUAUAUGCUUCAGCAAUUUGAAAAUCCUGCCAAUCCAAAGGU
rnacentral:misc_RNA from 1 species